UCAUUUCGUUUAAAUUAUUUAAUGGUGUUAAUUCAAAUGGCUAGUUGAUACAAAUUUAAACAAGAAGGUAGUGCAGAGAACAUGUUAGAAUUUUAUAGUGGUUGGAUGAACAAAAGGCAAAAUAAAUGUGGUACAAUGAUAAUUUCUCUAAUUCAAUUGUGAAGUGAGACUGUGAGUAGUUUCUCACUUACACUGGAAUGAGCAUGUGAAAUAGAAAUCAAAAUUUCAUUUAUGUGUAUACUUUGUCUUGGAUUAGGAGUGAAUUAUUUUAAAUUACAGUUUUAUCCUUAUUUUAAAGAAUUGUAGUUUUGAAUUAUAAAGUGAAUAAACAAUACAUUUGUAAAAUAAAAU
rnacentral:lncRNA from 1 species